CUUGACACUGAACAUUGAGCCUUGAUGUGUAGGAUAGGUGGGAGGCUUAGAAGUGUGGACGCCAGUCUGCAUGGAGCCGACCUUGAAAUACCACCCUUUAAUGUUUGAUGUUCUAACGUUGACCCGUAAUCCGGGUUGCGGACAGUGUCUGGUGGGUAGUUUGACUGGGGCGGUCUCCUCCUAAAGAGUAACGGAGGAGCACGAAGGUUGGCUAAUCCUGGUCGGACAUCAGGAGGUUAGUGCAAUG
rnacentral:rRNA from 1 species